UGUUCACAUACUUUUUCCACCUGCACUGUGAAUGUUUACAUGGUGUGUUGAAUAAAAACAUGGCAACAUUUCAUUCUUUGUGUGUUAUUAGUUUAAGCAGACUGUGAUUGUCUAUUGUUGUGACUUAGAUGUCCAGAAAUCCAUAUCAUUCCAAAGGGUUCACAUACUUUUUAUUGCAACUGUAUCUAGCAGUGUCAUACGCUUAUUUGGUCUAUAUCCUUUAGUCUGGAUGUGUCUCUUUCUGUCAGUACUUGGGUUAUGUCUGGAUUAGUUUCCCCCAUCAGAUGGGAGAGUAUUGUGCUACCUUGUCCGUUCUGAAAGUCAGGGUUGUUUGCUAGGGGAAAGAGGGAAGAAAUCCCUGGAGCCAGGUUCUAUGUGUUUUGUGCCUUCUCCAUAUUCCUAAUGUGUGCGAUAUGAUAGGGAGAACACGAAUAUUGCAUGUUUGCCAUGGGAGCGAUUGUAGAGGUGCCUUUGCAUAACUCUGUUCGAGGGAGUACCAAGAUUUUUUUCUUGUCUGUGGCCGUCCAUUAUUUUAUUCUCGUAAGAAGAACUGCCACAUAGUAUCUGUACAGAUGCGGAAGGCCAUGACCCCCUCUGCCUAUAGUAGAGGUCAUGGUGGUAUAGGCUAGACAUGGAGUAUUGUUGCCCCAUAUGUAGUAUAUAAAUGCUGUUCGCAUGUUGCUGAAAAAUGUGGCAGGUAGGGGUUUGGGAGGGCCUGAAACUAAUACAGCACCCAAGGGAGAAUCAUCAUUUUCAGGAUUGAGAGAAAUGGGG